UAUUUGAUAAUGAGGAUGAAUUUGGCUUUGAGGCGGACAACGGAUGACAUGUGAGAAUAGGGUUUAACCCUAGCGUAGGGGUCGCUGAUUCUAUGAAGGAGGGAUUGUGGCCUCCUCCACGCAGUUCAUCCGAGCAGACUGUUAAUUUGAUGUAAUCGAUUGGUGGCCUCCGACCAAUAUGGAUGGAAAUCCGAUUAAUGGAGCAACUAAUUCAAUUAGUGAAGGUAGUGUACAGGUGCCCUUGCAAACAAAACCAAAUCUUUCAGGUUGAUUCUAGUGUGGUUGCUCGAAAUGAGCUAAUGGUGGUUUCUAAUAAGUGGAUUCUAAUUUGUGACUCUUGGCCUUCCACAGGUUGAUUCUAGUGUGGUUGCUUGAAAGGAGCUAGUAUUAGUUUCAUGGUUUUGGUUGCUCGAUAUGAGCAAAUAUUAGUGUCAUGUAAUGGUCUCAAGUUGAUGCUCGUAUGAGCAAAAUAUUUGUAAACGAUUUGGAAUUUUAAAAAAAAAAUUAAUAUGAAAUUUUAGAAUAGUUUAUAUUUUC